rnacentral:rRNA from 1 species
CCUACGGGCGGCAGCAGUGGGGAAUAUUGGACAAUGGGGGCAACCCUGAUCCAGCCAUGCCGCGUGUGUGAAGAAGGCCCUCGGGUUGUAAAGCACUUUCAGUGAGGAAGAACGCCUGGUGGUUAAUACCCAUCAGGAAAGACAUCACUCACAGAAGAAGCACCGGCUAACUCCGUGCCAGCAGCCGCGGUAAUACGGAGGGUACGAGCGUUAAUCGGAAUUACUGGGCGUAAAGCGCGCGUAGGUGGCUUGAUAAGCCGGUUGUGAAAGCCCCGGGCUCAACCUGGGAACGGCAUCCGGAACUGUCAAGCUAGAGUGCAGGAGAGGAAGGUAGAAUUCCCGGUGUAGCGGUGAAAUGCGUAGAGAUCGGGAGGAAUACCAGUGGCGAAGGCGGCCUUCUGGACUGACACUGACACUGAGGUGCGAAAGCGUGGGUAGCAAACAGGAUUAGAUACCCCAGUAGUC